rnacentral:rRNA from 1 species
CUCCUACGGGAGGCAGCAGUGGGGGAUAUUGGACAAUGGGGGCAACCCUGAUCCAGCGACGCCGCGUGAGGGAAGAAGGUUUUCGGAUUGUAAACCUCUGUUGACGGAGAAAAAAAUGAUGGUAUCCGUUUAGAAAGCCACGGCUAACUACGUGCCAGCAGCCGCGGUAAUACGUAGGUGGCAAGCGUUGUCCGGAAUUACUGGGUGUAAAGGGAGUGUAGGCGGGAUGUCAAGUCAGAAGUGAAAAUUACGGGCUCAACUCGUAACCUGCUUUUGAAACUGACAUUCUUGAGUGAAGUAGAGGCAAGCGGAAUUCCUAGUGUAGCGGUGAAAUGCGUAGAUAUUAGGAGGAACACCAGUGGCGAAGGCGGCUUGCUGGGCUUUUACUGACGCUGAGGCUCGAAAGCGUGGGGAGCAAACAGGAUUAGAUACCCUGGUAGUCCACGCCGUAAACGAUGAUUACUAGGUGUGGGGGGAUUGACCCCUUCCGUGCCGGAGUAAACACAAUAAGUAAUCCACCUGGGGAGUACGACCGCAAGGUUGAAACUCAAAGGAAUUGACGGGGGCCCGCACAAGCAGUGGAGUAUGUGGUUUAAUUCGACGCAACGCGAAGAACCUUACCAGGUCUUGACAUCAAGUGACAGUCUAAGAGAUUAGACCUUCCCUUCGGGGACACAAAGACAGGUGGUGCAUGGUUGUCGUCAGCUCGUGUCGUGAGAUGUUGGGUUAAGUCCCGCAACGAGCGCAACCCUUAUCAUUAGUUGCUACGCAAGAGCACUCUAAUGAGACUGCCGUUGACAAAACGGAGGAAGGUGGGGAUGACGUCAAAUCAUCAUGCCCUUUAUGACCUGGGCUACACACGUACUACAAUGGCGUUUAACAAAGAGAAGCAAAGCCGCGAGGCAGAGCAAAUCUCCAAAAAACGUCUCAGUUCGGAUUGUAGGCUGCAACUCGCCUACAUGAAGUCGGAAUUGCUAGUAAUCGUAGGUCAGCAUACUACGGUGAAUACGUUCCCGGGCCUUGUACACACCGC